rnacentral:misc_RNA from 1 species
GUUAAAGCCUAUUCCAGCUGAAGCUACUGUAUCGGAGGCGUUGACAUUGUUGAAAAAAUCCGGCGAGACUCAUGUAAGCGUUUGGAGCUGUGACCAUAUCAGGAAGGUUGUAGAAGAAGAAGAAGGAGGCGGAGGAUAUUCUGUUUGCCGCUGUAUUGGGAAGAUCUGUAUGGUAGAUGUGAUUUGCUUCCUCUGUACGGAAGAGAAUUUGGCGGAUCCUUCUAAGGCUCUUCAAACUCCUGUGGAACAGAUUUUGCCUAAAGGGAAUUCCAUUGUCAGACAUUUAGAUCCAAAUUCUAGCUUGUUGGAAGCGAUAGAUUACAUUCUUGAAGGCGCUCAGAAUCUGGUUAUACCAAUUCAAAAUUCUAAGAGCACCCCUUCGAGGAAAAAGCUUUCGAGUAAAGCGUCAUUUUUGACUCCCA